AUAAUUGUUCCAAUUCAAUAAAAAAAAAAAUAGAUAUUUUUAUGAGAGGAGUGAGCCUUUUGGGACUGAGAAAAGCGCGGGAAAGAAAUCCCCGUGAAAAAAAUCCUUGGCGAUUCUCUCUCCGUCUCGUUUGGUGUGCGCAUAAAGUUAAAGUAGCAGAGGUUGUGCAUCACUUUCUUAAUCUCCUUCGCCCAGCUCUCUCCGUUCCUUGGCCGAUCAGUGAUCGGUGGGUCAGGAGGUACGACUACGAGACCGGCUAUAUAUCUUCUUCUACCAUAUCCUGAUAAUACGCUCGUUGCCACAGUGGGAUAUGCCCAUCAAAACCCACAUGUCACACCUAAAAUUUUUCCAGGUAACCACAGGCCACAGGCUGACUGAGAGCGCACACUGCCACUCUCCUGAAGGUGUAAAUGACGAGGAUUGGAAGAUGUGUGAUAGGUGGACAUCGCAGAAGUUCAGCAUUUCGAAGAGAGGUUAUUACAUCGCAAUAGUGUCCCUAGCCAUGAUGAACUAAAUUUAUUGGUGCCUCUCUCAAUUUUGAUAUGAUCAAAAUGUUUUUCAUUUUUUUUACUUAUUUUUCUUGAAUUAUGGACAAAUGGAAGUAUAACUCCUAAAGAAAACACUUCAUGAAGCCUCCCGGAAUUUGAUUGAUUGAUUUAUUCCUUGUUUACGUACGGAAGAAGAAAACUUAGAUUUAGAGGACAAUCAACACAAGGUCACUUUACCCACUUCUACUUUCAUGAUAAAUUGGCUAAACUAAGGGGAAAAAAAUUAGGUGGACAUCGCAGUAGUUUAUACUUAAGUUCUUUACUACUUGCUUUUGAAGAUAUAAUAGCAACUAAGUUCUUUUUCUACUUACAAACAUAGAAUGAUAUAUUGAUUCAUUGCUUGGGUUUUUGCUGCAGCCAAAGGAAGAAGAAAGUCAGGAGAAAGGUGAUCAUGAGGGGGCAGGUCAUUCCAUUCCCCUAUACGAGCAAACACAUUACAAGGUAGGGUCUGGAUGGACACAUGAGGGUGCUCGGGCAUUAUAUGUAUGUUAUGAAAAUCAAUUAAGAAAAUUUGUUUUGGGGUUAAUUGGAAAUGGCGUUGUUUUGCACAUUUGUGUUAUUGGUAGGAUUGUUGAAUUUGGAUGUGGCUAGUGUGAACUUAGAAAUUUGAUACAUGAGUUCUGCAAAUGGUUCUCGAGUUGGUACUAUUGUUGCUCCUGAAAUUCUUUCAAGUUGGUUUUGCUAGCUUUUAUUGUGGGCAAAUGCUGGUUGAUUAUCAUCUAAGUAUUUAACUGGAAAACUGUAUAUAAGCUAUAUAUUAAAUAAUAUUUUUUAUCAGGUGGUAGUCUGAUUGGAUUUCGAAUUCAAUUGGAUUUCAUUACCCUGUUGGGAUUGUUUAAUUCCCUCUUCUCAAUUUCGAUCUGAUUGCUUUUGAUAUGAAAGGGACAUGCAGUUUUUGAAUAGAGGAAAUGCUGGCUAAGUCAUCACAGGCAUCUGUCAAUCCUGAUGCUCACAGUCCAGCCACACCGAUGAGGAAGCAGUGCAUGACACUCCCGGUAUGAAGAGAAAACGUUGCUCGUGGAUUUGGAUGUGGAGAAAGGGCUGCAAGUUCAUCUUCAAGUCGUUUGUCCACAGAUGUUGUGAUGGAGGCUGACAGGAAGAGGGCUGAAAUAGCUGAGCAGCGACAUGAGGAGAUGCAGAAGUGAAGCAAAUCUCAAGAAUGAAAGAGUCAAUAAAUGAAAUGAACCCAAAGAUGGGGGAGCAUUCUUGAAAGGAAAAUGAUUUUAAAGCCGAGGAGUUGGGCGGAAUUCCUUAACCGAAUGCUUUUAAUGAUUGAAAUAAAUCCAAGGCUGGCAUACGCCGCGUACUCCCAGUUUGGCUCCCAGCAGCGGCCACCAACAGAAUAAUGACUUUUAUCUCUUGUGAUUCUCUUUGAAAUGCAGUUAACACAAUUGUUUAACUAUUUUGUUGAUCAGAAUUCUUUUUUGUUGGCCAUGUUGUAAAUCUUGAGUUCAAAUAUGCUUGUUUGUCUGUCUUUGGGCUACUUUUUAAAACCAUAUUCAUAAAA